rnacentral:rRNA from 1 species
GAUGAACGCUGGCGGCGUGCCUAAUACAUGCAAGUCGAGCGAAUGGAUUAAGAGCUUGCUCUUAUGAAGUUAGCGGCGGACGGGUGAGUAACACGUGGGUAACCUGCCCAUAAGACUGGGAUAACUCCGGGAAACCGGGGCUAAUACCGGAUAACAUUUUGAACCGCAUGGUUCGAAAUUGAAAGGCGGCUUCGGCUGUCACUUAUGGAUGGACCCGCGUCGCAUUAGCUAGUUGGUGAGGUAACGGCUCACCAAGGCAACGAUGCGGAGCCGACCUGAGAGGGUGAUCGGCCACACUGGGACUGAGACACGGCCCAGACUCCUACGGGAGGCAGCAGUAGGGAAUCUUCCGCAAUGGACGAAAGUCUGACGGAGCAACGCCGCGUGAGUGAUGAAGGCUUUCGGGUCGUAAAACUCUGUUGUUAGGGAAGAACAAGAGCUAGUUGAAUAAGCUGGCACCUUGACGGUACUUAACCAGAAAGCCACGGCUAACUACGUGCCAGCAGCCGCCGUAA